UUGGGGCUAUGCAAGUCGAGCGGAAACGAGUUAUCUGAACCUUCGGGGAACGAUAACGGCGUCGAGCGGCGGACGGGUGAGUAAUGCCUAGGAAAUUGCCCUGAUGUGGGGGAUAACCAUUGGAAACGAUGGCUAAUACCGCAUAAUGCCUACGGGCCAAAGAGGGGGACCUUCGGGCCUCUCGCGUCAGGAUAUGCCUAGGUGGGAUUAGCUAGUUGGUGAGGUAAGGGCUCACCAAGGCGACGAUCCCUAGCUGGUCUGAAGGAUGAUCAGCCACACUGGAACUGAGACACGGUCCAGACUCCUACGGGAGGCAGCAGUGGGGAAUAUUGCACAAUGGGCGCAAGCCUGAUGCAGCCAUGCCGCGUGUGUGAAGAAGGCCUUCGGGUUGUAAAGCACUUUCAGUCGUGAGGAAGGUAGUGUAGUUAAUAGCUGCAUUAUUUGACGUUAGCGACAGAAGAAGCACCGGCUAACUCCGUGCCAGCAGCCGCGGUAAUACGGAGGGUGCGAGCGUUAAUCGGAAUUACUGGGCGUAAAGCGCAUGCAGGUGGUUUGUUAAGUCAGAUGUGAAAGCCCGGGGCUCAACCUCGGAAUUGCAUUUGAAACUGGCAGACUAGAGUACUGUAGAGGGGGGUAGAAUUUCAGGUGUAGCGGUGAAAUGCGUAGAGAUCUGAAGGAAUACCGGUGGCGAAGGCGGCCCCCUGGACAGAUACUGACACUCAGAUGCGAAAGCGUGGGGAGCAAACAGGAUUAGAUACCCUGGUAGUCCACGCCGUAAACGAUGUCUACUUGGAGGUUGUGGCCUUGAGCCGUGGCUUUCGGAGCUAACGCGUUAAGUAGACCGCCUGGGGAGUACGGUCGCAAGAUUAAAACUCAAAUGAAUUGACGGGGGCCCGCACAAGCGGUGGAGCAUGUGGUUUAAUUCGAUGCAACGCGAAGAACCUUACCUACUCUUGACAUCCAGAGAACUUUCCAGAGAUGGAUUGGGCCUUCGGGAACUCUGAGACAGGUGCUGCAUGGCUGUCGUCAGCUCGUGUUGUGAAAUGUUGGGUUAGUCCCGCAGAGCGCACAUCUUUUGCCGAGUAAUGGGACUCAGGAACUGCCGGUGACAGGCACCAAGUCCUCAU
rnacentral:rRNA from 1 species